CACGUAGGGGGCAAGCGUUGUCCGGAAUUACUGGGCGUAAAGGGUGCGUAGGCGGUCUGUUAAGUCGGAUGUGAAAGACCCGGGCUCAACCCGGGAUGUGCAUCCGAGACUGGCGGACUUGAGUGCAGGAGAGGGAAGUGGAAUUUCUAGUGUAGCGGUGGAAUGCGUAGAUAUUAGGAAGAACACCAGUGGCGAAGGCGGCUUCCUGGACUGUAACUGACGCUGAGGCACGAAAGCGUGGGGAGCGAACAGG
rnacentral:rRNA from 1 species